ensembl:lncRNA
GCAAUUUCUAUUAUGAUUUUAUAGUCCAGGCCACAGUUACAUACAUGUACAGUCAUAAAUUACUAAUUUCAGGACCAAAACUGGGCUAGACUUUUGGCUUUACAACUCACCAAUUGUUCCCAAAAAUAAUAUCAGUCUUGGAUGGUGUGUGGAAUGUACUGGUUAUAUACAUAAACAAGACAUAGCCUGGACAUAACUCAAUAGCAUCUGUGUUUGGGAGAAUGCCACAGCCUUCUUCAAACUGGGUGCAUUGAAAUAGUUUUUAAAAUAGUUCAUCCAAGGUUAUUUAUAUAUAUAUAUAUAUUUAUAUAUAUAUAUAUAUAUAUAUAUAUAUACACACACACACUAUACAUUCAUUCUGUGUUUAUGCCUCUGAUUUAAGCUAAGUCAAUAGUCAGUAACACUUCACUUAAAGUAUACAGCUAUAAUGUGAAGGAUUUAUGGGAGCCAUCCUGGUAUCUCUUCAUUAUUGAUUACUCAAAGUAUUAGAUGAUUUAAUGACAAAGACAAUGGCAGACACGAACGGGCACCCGGGAGAAAACUCGAGUACAGAUUUCAGGUCCAUUUUCUCCAAGCCUUAUUUCCUUGUUCAUCUCUGUUCAUACCUAGUUUUGUAUCAUAAUGUGCCUUGGAAUAAUUGGUUACAGUAAUCAAAUUCAACAUAUCACAACAGCUGGAGUGUAGCGUUUCAAUAAACCGCUCGACCAUAUUCCUGUUAAACUUCAAGGUGACAAAUUUAACCAUUACAUCAGUGUUGUUGACAACAAACCACAGAUGCCAUUAGCUUGUUAGUGACUGGAGUGCACACAGCAGGGCCUUCUCUCUUGACCUUCGGAGCAAACCCUCCCUAUCAUAGACUCAAUGGACUCUAAAAAGAUGAAAUUAUUUUCACCACCUGUAGGAUGACCCCAUAUUCUAUGAUAACAGAAAAGAACAUUUGUAUUUUAUUUUUACUCGAAGGCCAGUCGGACAUCACUGCUCGCUGUCCAUGAGUUUACAAACAAAACCCAGAGGCAUAUUAUACACAGUGCCUUGGGAAGUAUUCAGACCCCUUGACCUUUUCCACAUUUUUGUUACGUUACAGCCUUAUUCUAAAAAUGGAUUAAAUAAAUAAAACAUCCUCAGCAAUCUACACACAAUACCCCAUAAUGACAAAGCGAAAACAAGAUUUUUGACAUUUGUAAAAAACAGAAAUUCCUUAUUUACAUAAGUAUUCAGACCCUUUGCUAUGAGACUCGAAAUUGAGCUCCGAUGCAUCCUGUUUCCAUUGGUCAUCCUUUUAGAUGUUUCUACAACUUGAUUAGAGUCCACCUGUGGUAAAUUCAAUUGAAUGGACAUGAUUUGGAAAGGCACACACCUGUCUAUAUAAAGGUCCCACAGAUGACAGGGCAUGUCAGAGCAAAAAACAAGUCAUGUGGUUGAAGGAAUUGUCCGUAGAGCUCAGAGAUAGGAUUGUGUCAAGGCACAGAUUUUGGGAAGGGUACCAAAAAAAUUCUGCGACAUUGAAGAUCCCCAAGAACACAGUGGCCUGCAUCAUUCUUUAAUGGAAGAAGUUUGGAACCACCAAGACCCUUCCUAGAGCUGGCCGCCCGGCCACACAGCAAUCGGGAGAGAAGGGCCUUGGUCAGGGAGGUGAACAACAACCCGAUGGUCACUCUGACAGACUCUAGAGUUCCUGUAGAGUUGGGAGAACCUUCCAGAAGGACAACCAUCUCUGCAGUACUCCACCAAUCAGGCCUUUAUGGUAGAGUGGCCAGAUGGAAGCCACUCCUCAGGAAAAGACACGACAGCCAACUUGGAGUUUGCCAAAAGGCAUCUAAAGACUCUCAGACCAUGAGAAACAAGAUUUCUUUAGUCUGAUGAAACCAAUAUUGAACACUUUGGCCUGAAUGUCAAGCGUCCCGUCUGGUGGAAACCUGGCACCAUCCAUUUGGUGAAGCAUGGUGGUGGCAGCAUCAUGCUGUGGGGAUGUUUUUCAGUGGCAGGGACUGGGAGACUAGUCAGGAUCGAGGCAAAGAUGAACAGAGCAAAGUACAGAGAGAUCCUUGAUGAAAACCUUCUCUAGAGCAUUCAGGACCUCAGACUGGGGCAAAGGUUCACCUUCCAACAGGACAAUCAUCCUAAGCACACAGACAAGACAACGCUUCAGGACAAAUCUCUGAAUGUCCUUGAGUGGCCCAGCCAGAACCUGGACUUGAACCUGACCGAACAUUUCAGGAGAGACCUGAAAAUAGCUGUGCAGCAACGCUUCCAAUCCAACCUGAAAGAGCUUGAAAGGAUCUGCAGAGAAGAAUAGGAAAAACUCCCCAAAUACAGUCGUGCCAAGCUUGUAGCGUCAUACCCAAGAAGACUUGAUGCUUUUUGACCUGAUGCUGCCAAAGGUGCUUCAACAAAGUCCUGAGUAAAGGGUCUGAAUACUUAUGCAAAUUUGAUAUCCAUUUUCAAUUGUUAAUAAAUUAGCAAAAAAAUCCUAAAAACCUGUUUUGCUUUGUGAUUAUGGGGUAUUAUGUGUAGAUUGAUGAGGGAAAAAACUAUUUCAUACAUUUUUUGAAUAAAGCUGUAAAGUAACAAAUUGUGACCAGAGUCAGCACUGUUGACACCAGAUAGGUACUGUAGAUACCAGAUAGUCAGAUAGGCACUGUUGACACCAGAUAGUCACUGUUGACACCAGAUAGUCACUGUUGACACCAUAUAGGUACUGUAGACACCAGAUAGGUACUGUAGACACCAGAUAGGUACUGUAGACACCAGAUAGGUACUGUAGACACCAGAUAGGUACUGUAGACACCAGAUAGGUACUGUAGACACCAGAUAGUCAGAUAGGUACUGUAGACACCAGAUAGUCAGAUAGGUACUGUAGACACCAGAUAGUCAGAUAGGUACUGUAGACACCAGAUAGGUACUGUAGACACCAGAUAGUCAGAAAGGUACUGUAGACACCAGAUAGUCAGAAAGGUACUGUAGACACCAGAUAGGUACUAUAGACACCAGAUAGUCAGAUAGGUACUGUAGUCUCACACGCUUGCAGACACUUUCGACGUUGAGGGAUUUUUAUAAUUUACGAUGAGGCUUACUAGUGUAAUAAGCCUUUUGUGAAAUGUUUCAUUUUCAUGGUUUAGGACCAACUAAAAGGGUAAGAACUAGAUCAAAGAAUUGUCUCAACAAUUUCUUAUAUUUAUUUCCCCCUUUUCAUUACAGGCAGAUAAGAGAAUACGACAUGCCACUGAACACAUAAUGAAAAUAGACGAGGAAGUUCAAUUCCCAAUUACUGUCAUACUGUGAGCUGUUGACAAAAAAGGGAAACAGGAAUGAUACAUUAGGAAAUAUAUCAUAUUUAUUCAUUUUUCCUACAUCAUACCCUGACUCACAUACAAUAUACCAGUCACAUGAAGCAAGCACUUAAAUCACCCAUGUGCUCGGGCAGGCUGGAACGCUCAGUGCAUAAAUAUCAUUGGUACACAAAUAAGCCCAGCCAAGGUUUCCCAAACCUAGUCUGAGACCCGGUGUUUAUCAAACCCACAUGAAACUGGUCAGUGGAAAUGGAGUGGUCCUACGACAUCACCUCAAUGAGCACAUCCAGUUCCAGACAAGUCCUUCCCGACAACAAGGUUGGAUUUUCACAAUAUUUACUCCAGCUGGAGUGAAAUGCUGCAUACGCAAUGAGCUUCCCAGACCAGGACCGAAAGAAAACUGUCCCAUCCCCUUCCCAGACCAGGACUGAAAAAAACUGGCCCAUCCCCUUCCCAGACCAGGACUGAAAAAAACUGUCCCAUCCCCUUCCCAGACCAGGACUGAAAAAAACUGUCCCAUCCCCUUCCCAGACCAGGACUGAAAGAAAACUGGUCCAUCCCCUUCCCAGACCAGGACUGAAAGAAAACUGGUCCAUCCCCUUCCCAGACCAGGACUGAAAAAAAACUGUCCCAUCCCCUUCCCAGACCAGGACGGAAAGAAAACUGGUCCAUCCCCUUCCCAGACCAGGACUGAAAGAAAACUGGUCCAUCCCCUUCCCAGACCAGGACGGAAAGAAAACUGGUCCAUCCCCUUCCCAGACCAGGACGGAAAGAAAACUGGUCCAUCCCCUUCCCAGACCAGGACUGAAAGAAAACUGGUCCAUCCCCUUCCCAGACCAGGACGGAAAGAAAACUGGUCCAUCCCCUUCCCAGACCAGGACGGAAAGAAA